rnacentral:rRNA from 1 species
UACAGAGGUCCCGAGCGUUGUUCGGAUUCACUGGGCGUAAAGGGUGCGUAGGUGGCAUGGUAAGUUUGAUGUGAAAGCUCAGGGCUCAACCCUGAAAUGGCAUUGAAUACUACUGUGCUGGAGGUUUGGAGGGGGGACUGGAAUUCUUGGUGUAGCAGUGAAAUACGUAGAUAUCAAGAGGAACACCAGUGGCGAAGGCGAGUCCCUGGACAACACCUGACACUGAGGCACGAAAGCUAGGGGAGCAAACAGG